GUGUAUAUAGCUCAGUGGUAGAGUGCAUGCCUAGUGUGCACAAGGUCCUGGGUUCAAUCCCCAGUACCUCCA
rnacentral:tRNA from 1 species